UAAAAAUAUAUUGAUAUGUGUGUGUGUGUGACGUUUGUAUAUAUACGAUGUGUAUGUACGGAUUUGUGUGUUUGUGUAUAUACAGUGCAUUAAUAUAUACAUUUCUAUAUAUAUUGAUGUAUAUGAUCAUAUAUAAACUUAUUAUCAGUUUAUACAUUAUUAACGUAUAUGUACACUGAUUUAUAUACUACACACACGCACAAACACUCACACUCACGCAUACGCACUCACACUCACACGCACACUCACACAUAUACACACGCACACACACACACACUCGCACUCACACUCACACUCACACUCACACUCGCACUCGCACUCGCACUCGCUCUCACACUCACACUCACACUCACACUCACACUCAAACUCACACACACUCACACUCACACUCACACUCACACUCACACUCACACUCACAGAUAUAUAUAUUAUCACCUCUAAUCUGAUAUGCCUAAGAAAAAUUCCAUAUUACUUUGUAUAGAAUUAGGCAUAAGAAUGGGUAUCUUCUCUUGAUGAAUUGGGUAUGCUAAAUAUCCAAUUGUGAUAGACCGAUUAAAUUUUUUUUCUUAUUUGUACUUGUUUUUAUUAAUAUUGAAGAGCUUCAUCUGCAUCGAGUUUUCUGUUAAAUCAACGAGCAAGAAAGCAACUUAACAUCAAGGUGGAUCUCUUUACGUUAUUCGAUAUUUGAGAUCUUGAUCUUGAUUUGCUUAAUGGUUCUUUCUUCUCAUGUAUCGUACUUCUCUUUCUUCUUUUAUGCAAAUACGGAGUGAAUUUUCUGGAG
rnacentral:lncRNA from 1 species